rnacentral:rRNA from 1 species
GUCUACGGCCACGGCGCCCUGAACACGCCCGAUCUCGGCCGAUCUCAGAAGCUAAGCAGGGUCGGGCCUGGUUAGGCUGAUCUCGGAAGCUAAGCCGGGUGGGGCCUGGUUCCUACUUGGAUGGGAGACCACCUGGGAAGAGCAGGUGCUGUAGGCG